UACAUAGCUCAAUUGGUAGAGCACUUCAUUCGUAAUGAAGCGGUUAUGGGUUCGAUUCCCGUUGUAG
rnacentral:tRNA from 1 species